GGUACCGGUGGAUCACUCGGCUCGUGUGUCGAUGAAGAGCGCAGCCAACUGUGUGAAUUAAUGUGAACUGCAUACUGCUUUGAACAUCGACAUCUUGAACGCAUAUUGCGGCCACGGGUUUUCCUGUGGCCACGCCUGUCCGAGGGUCGGCUUAUAAACUAUCACGACGCCCAAAAAGUCGUGGCUUGGAAUCUGCCAGCUGGCGUGAUUUCCUCUGUGGUUCGCCACGUGAGGUGCCAGAUCUAUGGCGUUUUCCUAAUGUCUCCGGACACAACCGCGUCUUGCUGGUAGCGCAGACGAGGGUGUGGCGGUAGAGUCGUGGCUCAGUGAAAUGUAUGUGGUAGCACGCUCUGCUGUUGUGCCUUUGUUAGUGUAACUGGUUUGAGAUGCUAUUGCCGUCCGCCAAAUUAUGAUCACCCACUGUGGUGUUCAUUUACCUGACCUCGGAUCAGACGUGAAUACCCGCUGAACUUAAGCAUAUCACUAAGCGGAGGAAAAGAAACUAACCAGGAUCCC
rnacentral:rRNA from 1 species